rnacentral:rRNA from 1 species
CCGUAGGUGAACCUGCGGCGGGAUCAUUACUGA